rnacentral:tRNA from 1 species
GCCCGGAUAGCUCAGUAGGUAGAGCACUUCCAUGGUAAGGAAGGGGUCAGCGGUUCGAAUCCGCUUCCGGGCU